GUACCCACUUCAGCGGCACAUAUACUAGAACUGGAACGAGACAGAGAAGAUUAGUAUGGCCCUGUGCAAGAAUAACACUGAGAGAGAGAGAGAGAGAGAGAGAGAGCAUUU